UACGUAGGGCGCAAGCGUUGUCCGGAAUUAUUGGGCGUAAAGAGCUCGUAGGCGGCUUGUCACGUCGAUUGUGAAAGCCCGAGGCUUAACCUCGGGUCUGCAGUCGAUACGGGCUAGCUAGAGUGUGGUAGGGGAGAUCGGAAUUCCUGGUAUAGCGGUGAAAUGCGCAGAUAUCAGGAGGAACACCGGUGGCGAAGGCGGAUCUCUGGGCCAUUACUGACGCUGAGGAGCGAAAGCGUGGGGAGCGAACAGG
rnacentral:rRNA from 1 species